ACGCGGUGGAGCGGAAGUUAACGCCCCAGACUGUUGCGCUGAGGAUCGUGGGUUCGAUUCCCACAUCGGGCA
rnacentral:tRNA from 1 species